AUGUAGGGUAAUCUGUCUUUAAUUAGGGGUAAAUUACUCUUUAAAAAAGAGAGAGAAAGAUUUCUAGAUACCUUUCUCUUUAAGUAAAGCAUCUUGU
rnacentral:pre_miRNA from 1 species